CGCUGGCGGCAGGCUUAAUACAUGCAAGUCGAACGCGUGUAGCAAUACACGAGUGGCGCACGGGUGAGUAACGCGUGGAUAUCUGCCUUUGGUUCGGAAUAACUCCGGGAAACUGGAGCUAAUACCGGAUGGUUCCUACGGGAUAAAGAUUUAUCGCCAAAAGAUGAGUCCGCGUACGAUUAGCUAGUUGGUGAGGUAAUGGCUCACCAAGGCGACGAUCGUUAGCUGGUCUGAGAGGACGAUCAGCCACACUGGGACUGAGACACGGCCCAGACUCCUACGGGAGGCAGCAGUGGGGAAUAUUGGACAAUGGGGGCAACCCUCGAUCCAGCCAUGCGCGUGAGUGAUGAAGGCCUUCGGGUUGUAAAGCUCUUUGGCGGGGACGAUGAUGACGGUACCCGCAGAAUAAGCCCGGCUAACUUCGUG
rnacentral:rRNA from 1 species